CCUACGUGAGACAGCCGUGAGGAAUAUUGGUCAAUGGGCGGAAGCCUGAACCAGCCAAGUAGCGUGCAGGCUUACUGCCCUACGGGUUGUAAACUGCUUUUAUACGGGAAUAACGCGCCUUACUUGUAGGGCUUUGCAUGUACCGUAUGAAUAAGGACCGGCUAAUUCCGUGCCAUCAGCCGCGGUAAUACGGCAGGUCCUGGCUUUAUCCGGAUUUAUUUGGUGUAAAGGGAGCGUAGGCCGCCUGUCAAGCGUGCGGUGAAAUGUCCGGGCUCAACCCGGGCCUUGCAGCGCGAACUGGCGUGCUUGAGUCCGCGGAAAGCAGGCGGAAUUCGUGGUGUAGCGGUGAAAUGCUUAGAUAUGACGAAGAACCCCGAUUGCGAAGGCAGCUUGCUGCAGCGGAACUGACGCUGAUGCGCGAAAGCGCGGGUAUCGAACAGGAUUAGAUACCCAUGUAGUC
rnacentral:rRNA from 1 species